UACAGAGGGUGCAAGCGUUAAUCGGAAUUACUGGGCGUAAAGGGUGCGUAGGUGGUUAAUUAAGUCAGAUGUGAAAUCCCUAGGCUUAACCUAGGAAUUGCGUUUGAAACUGGUUAGCUAGAGUACAGGAGAGGGAAGUGGAAUUUCCGGUGUAGCGGUGAAAUGCGUAGAUAUCGGAAGGAACAUCAGUGGCGAAGGCGACUUCCUGGACUGUUACUGACACUGAGGCACGAAAGCGUGGGGAGCGAACAGG
rnacentral:rRNA from 1 species